rnacentral:rRNA from 1 species
AGAACGAACGCUGGCGGCACGCCUAACACAUGCAAGUCGAGCGAGAUCUUCGGAUCUAGCGGCGGACGGGUUAGUAACGCGUGGGAACGUACCUUUUGCUUCGGAAUAGCCUCGGGAAACUGGGAGUAAUACCGAAUGUGCCCUUUGGGGGAAAGAUUUAUCGGCAAAGGAUCGGCCCGCGUCUGAUUAGAUAGUUGGUGGGGUAAUGGCCUACCAAGUCUGCGAUCAGUAGCUGGUUUGAGAGGAUGAUCAGCAACACUGGGACUGAGACACGGCCCAGACUCCUACGGGAGGCAGCAGUGGGGAAUCUUAGACAAUGGGCGCAAGCCUGAUCUAGCGAUGCCGCGUGAGUGACGAAGGCCUUAGGGUCGUAAAGCUCUUUCGCCAGGGAUGAUAAUGACAGUACCUGGUAAAGAAACCCCGGCUAACUCCGUGCCAGCAGCCGC